rnacentral:rRNA from 1 species
GAUAGGCCGGGAGUGUAAGAGUAGUAAUACUUUCAGCUGACCGGUACUAAUAGGUCGAGGGCUUGAUUAU